AGCCUACGGGAGGCAGCAGUGAGGAAUAUUGGUCAAUGGCCGAGAGUCUGAGCCAGCCCAGUAGCGUGAAGGAUGACUGCCCUAUAGGUUGUAAACGUCUUUUAUAAAGGAAUAAAACGAGGCACGUGUGCCUUUUUUCAUGUACUUUAUGAAUAAGGAUCGGCUAACUCCGUGCCAGCAGCCGCGGUAAUACGGAGGAUCCGAGCGUUAUCCGGAUUUAUUGGGUUUAAAGGGAGCGUAGAUGGGUUGUUAAGUCAGUUGUGAAAGUUUGCGGGUCAACCGUAAAAUUUCAAUUGAUACUGGCA
rnacentral:rRNA from 1 species